rnacentral:rRNA from 1 species
UACGGAGGGUGCAAGCGUUAUCCGGAAUCACUGGGUUUAAAGGGUGCGUAGGCGGCUUGGUAAGUCAGAGGUGAAAGCCCGCAGCUUAACUGCGGAACUGCCUUUGAUACUGCCGAGCUUGAAAGAGGUUGAGGUCAGCGGAACGUGACAUGUAGCGGUGAAAUGCAUAGAUAUGUCACAGAACACCAAUUGCGAAGGCAGCUGGCUGGGCCUACUUUGACGCUGAGGAACGAAAGCGUGGGGAGCGAACAGG